ensembl:lncRNA
GUGAACAGACCCGGUGUGGGAGAGGGGUUUCAGAUUAAAUCAAGACCUGAAGAAAUAAAUAAACAGACCAGUGUCUCGUGCUCACAGUGGCAUUGAUCGGACAGUACAGCCGGACUCACGCGCUGGGAACGCGCGCGGUCUUUGUUCGCGCGCGCACGUGUGUGGCGUGGAAUUAAACCUCAAAUCCCAGAGCGCGCGCGUCCCAUUGGUCAGACUCAGUGCACAGGGUGGAGAAGACUUCACUCCGCACACUGAGCUCACAGGCGCGUGGGAUACAGCCGGAGUCUCUCCAGUCUCUCUCCACCAGCCUCCAUCAGAGCCUCCAUCAGCCUCCAUCAGAGCCUCCAUCAGCACGCUGUGGACUAGUUCUCUUUCUUCUACAACCCGCACAUUUCUCUCUCCAGGACCCUACUCAGAGUUUACUAGAAGAAGGGAGAGGUGAUGUGAAACGAUGAGACUGUAAGGAGAUAACCAGGCGAGAAGAGAGAGAGAGAGAGAGAGAGAGAGAGAGAGAGAGAGAGAAAGAGAGAUGGAGGAAAGGGCACAGGUUUGACUGACAGCAGAAGGAAAGUUAUCAGUGUGACAGUGAGAAAAGAGUGAGAUACUGCGUGUUACUGCGCGUUAUUGUAGUGUGUGUGGUGUUAGUGUAGUGUGUGUUUUUACUGUGUGUGUUAGUGUAGUGUGUGUGGUGUUAGUGUAUAGUGUUGCAUAGUGUAUAGUGUUACUGUAGUGUGUU